rnacentral:rRNA from 1 species
UAGGGAAUAUUGCUCAAUGGGGGAAACCCUGAAGCAGCAACGCCGCGUGGAGGAUGAAGGUUUUAGGAUUGUAAACUCCUUUUGUAAGAGAAGAUUAUGACGGUAUCUUACGAAUAAGCACCGGCUAACUCCGUGCCAGCAGCCGCGGUAAUACGGAGGGUGCAAGCGUUACUCGGAAUCACUGGGCGUAAAGAGCGCGUAGGCGGGAGAGUAAGUCAGAUGUGAAAUCCUGUAGCUUAACUACAGAACUGCAUUUGAAACUAUGAGUCUAGAGUGUGGGAGAGGUAGGUGGAAUUCUUGGUGUAGGGGUAAAAUCCGUAGAUAUCAAGAGGAAUACUCAUUGCGAAGGCGACCUACUGGAACAUUACUGACGCUCAUGCACGAAAGCGUGGGGAGCAAACAGG